rnacentral:rRNA from 1 species
UACGAAGGGUGCAAGCGUUACUCGGAAUUACUGGGCGUAAAGCGUGCGUAGGUGGUUUGCUAAGUCUGUUGUGAAAGCCCCGGGCUCAACCUGGGAAUGGCAAUGGAUACUGGCAAGCUAGAGUGCGGUAGAGGGUAGUGGAAUUCCCGGUGUAGCGGUGAAAUGCGUAGAGAUCGGGAGGAACACCAGUGGCGAAGGCGGCUACCUGGACCAGCACUGACACUGAGGCACGAAAGCGUGGGGAGCAAACAGG